GUAUCAGAAAAAAAAUUGUCAGGUGUCAGAAAAAAAGUUGUCAGGUGUCAGAAAAAAAAUUGUCAGGUGUCAGAAAAAAAGUUGUCAGGUGUCAGAAAAAAAAUUGUCAGGUGUCAGAAAAAAAAUUGUCAGGUGUCAGAAAAAAAAUUGUCAGGUGUUAGAAAAAAAAUUGUCAGGUGUCAGAAAAAAAGUUGUCAGGUGUCAGAACACAAGGUACCAGAGAGAAAAUCUUCCUGCAGGUGGCGCUGUUGUCAUGUCCCACCCGAAUUGAUUUCCAAAUACGUCAUCAACGUGUGACCGUGGGAGAGCGUAAGGUCAUUGACCUCACCGGAGUUUUACCGUGGUUCAGGCUCCUAACGACACAAGGUAAGUUUAACUUUUUCUCCCUUUUGUUCAUAUUUUUGCCACAGUUGUGUUAUAUUAAGUUGCAGUUAUGUUGUGAAAGUUACAUAUCAGAGACGGAAAGCCAGUUUUGUACGAAACCAAAUCAGUACUAUUUUUGUCUGGCUAAUUCAUUCUAGCUAGCGACAGUGGUGAAACGUGAUUCAAAUUUAAACUGUUCAGUAAUUGUUUUGUAUACAUUUCAGCAAAUGGACAAGCUGAAAGCUUACGAGCAGCUUAAAAAAGACCUUGAAAAUGGUAAUCCAACACUUUAUUAAACUUUUUGGUAAUGCUUGCAAGUUAAUUUUUUUAACUGCAAAGAACCCUGACAAUAUCAUGCUUUAAUUAUUUAACAUGUAUGGUAUUCAUAUUUACUUCUCUUUAUUAAUAUGCAUGUUAACAGAUGUAUAUAGUUAUUACUUUAUGAUAUUGUUGGAGUGCCCGAUUUAAAAAAAAAAAAAAUAAAUAAAAAUGACAAAAGUUAAAUUUCUCACAAAAUUAAAAGAUUGCAAUUUAAAAGUUAGAUAGUCAUGUAGGAUCUGUCUCCUACAGUCAAUCUAUAACUACUUACCCUUUUAAAAUUUUAUUUGAAGGUGAGAUUACCCAAAAAGGCUUUGAUAACAACAUAAAAAAGCUCCUGACAGCAGAAAAAUCAGGUAGGUUUUGAUACUUUUGAACAACAUGCAAAACAAUCUCCUUUAUUUAACAUGAUAUGCUUAGCAGGUUAUGAUUGAAUAACCACUUUAUUAAUAGAUGCAAUACAUUUUGAAAGCAGAUGACUGUGC
ensembl:lncRNA